AACGAAAUACGUCGGUUUCUGUUUGACUGUUUCGUGUCCUGAUCCUGCUGACAUCGAGAAAGCUGUUCAGUUUUUGUCAUC
rnacentral:ribozyme from 1 species